GAUGAAGAACGCAGCGAAAUGCGAUAAGUAAUGUGAAUUGCAGAAUUCAGUGAAUCAUCGAAUCUUUGAACGCACAUUGCGCCCGCUAGUAUUCUGGCGGGCAUGCCUGUUCGAGCGUCAUUUCAACCAUCAAGCCCUGCUUGUGUUGGGGUCCUGCGGCUGCCCGCAGGCCCUGAAAACCAGUGGCGGGCUCGCUAGUCACACCGAGCGCAGUAGCACAUCUCGCUCAGGGCGUGCGGCGGGUUCUUGCCGUAAAACACCCCCUUUUUACCAAGGAUGACCUCGGAUCAGGUAGGAAUACCCGCUGAACUUAAGCAUAUCAAUAAGCGGAGGA
rnacentral:misc_RNA from 1 species